rnacentral:rRNA from 1 species
UACAGAGGGGGCAAGCGUUGUUCGGAAUUACUGGGCGUAAAGGGCGCGUAGGCGGCCUUCUAAGUCGAACGUGAAAUCCCUGGGCUCAACCCAGGAACUGCGUCCGAUACUGGAAGGCUUGAAUCCGGGAGAGGGAUGCGGAAUUCCAGGUGUAGCGGUGAAAUGCGUAGAUAUCAGGAAGAACACCCGUGGCGAAGGCGGCUCUCUGGGACGGUACUGACGCUGAGACGCGAAAGCGUGGGGAGCGAACAGG